AAACAACUAACAAGAUAUAGAUUCAGUGUAUAGAGUGUCAAUUU
rnacentral:guide_RNA from 1 species